rnacentral:rRNA from 1 species
AACUUUCAGCAACGGAUCUCUUGGCUCUCGCAUCGAUGAAGAACACGGCGAAAUGUGAUAAGUAAUGUGAAUUGCAGAAUUCAGUGAAUCAUCGAAUCUUUGAACGCACCUUGCGCUCCUUGGUAUUCUGAGGAGCAUGCCUGUUUGAGUGU